AUUGAACGCUGGCGGCAGGCCUAACACAUGCAAGUCGAGCGGAUGAUGGGAGCUUGCUCCUGGAUUCAGCGGCGGACGGGUGAGUAAUGCCUAGGAAUCUGCCUGGUAGUGGGGGACAACGUUUCGAAAGGAACGCUAAUACCGCAUACGUCCUACGGGAGAAAGCAGGGGACCUUCGGGCCUUGCGCUAUCAGAUGAGCCUAGGUCGGAUUAGCUUGUUGGUGAGGUAAUGGCUCACCAAGGCGACGAUCCGUAACUGGUCUGAGAGGAUGAUCAGUCACACUGGAACUGAGACACGGUCCAGACUCCUACGGGAGGCAGCAGUGGGGAAUAUUGGACAAUGGGCGAAAGCCUGAUCCAGCCAUGCCGCGUGUGUGAAGAAGGUCUUCGGAUUGUAAAGCACUUUAAGUUGGGAGGAAGGGUUGUAGAUUAAUACUCUGCAAUUUUGACGUUACCAACAGAAUAAGCACCGGCUAACUCUGUGCCAGCCGCCGCGGUAAGAC
rnacentral:rRNA from 1 species